rnacentral:rRNA from 1 species
CAAACGACUCUCGGCAACGGAUAUCUCGGCUCUCGCAUCGAUGAAGAACGUAGCGAAAUGCGAUACUUGGUGUGAAUUGCAGAAUCCCGUGAACCAUCGAGUCUUUGAACNNAAGUUGCGCCNGAAGCCAUUAGGCCGAGGGCACGCCUGNCUGGGCGUCACGC